UAAUUCACUAUGAUGUCAUUUAUGACACC
rnacentral:sRNA from 1 species